rnacentral:rRNA from 1 species
UACGUAGGGUGCGAGCGUUGUCCGGAAUUAUUGGGCGUAAAGGGCUCGUAGGCGGUUUGUCGCGUCGGGAGUGAAAUCCAGGUGCUUAACACCUGGCUUGCUUUCGAUACGGGCAGACUAGAGGUAUGCAGGGGAGAACGGAAUUCCUGGUGUAGCGGUGAAAUGCGCAGAUAUCAGGAGGAACACCGGUGGCGAAGGCGGUUCUCUGGGCAUGACCUGACGCUGAGGAGCGAAAGUGUGGGGAGCGAACAGG